rnacentral:rRNA from 1 species
GGUUAAGCGACUAAGCGUACACGGUGGAUGCCCUGGCAGUCAGAGGCGAUGAAGGACGUGCUAAUCUGCGAUAAGCGUCGGUAAGGUGAUAUGAACCGUUAUAACCGGCGAUUUCCGAAUGGGGAAACCCAGUGUGAUUCGUCACACUAUCAUUAACUGAAUCCAUAGGUUAAUGAGGCGAACCGGGGGAACUGAAACAUCUAAGUACCCCGAGGAAAAGAAAUCAACCGAGAUUCCCCCAGUAGCGGCGAGCGAACGGGGAGCAGUCCAGAGCCUGAAUCAGUGUGUGUGUUAGUGGAAGCGUCUGGAAAGGCGCGCGAUACAGGGUGACAGCCCCGUACACAA